CUAUAUUUACCCUAUUUUUCUCAUAUAACUGAUAGUUAUAUCAUAGAAUGAGAUGGAGAUGAUCAUCGUCUAUAAGAUAAGAGUUAUUAUGUAUUAUUUUAGUGUUUAUUGUUCUUAUGCUGGUAUGAUCAUGAUGAUAAUGAUAAUGAUUUUUUCUAACUGUAUUACUAUCACUUUGCUGAUAUAUCCAGUAUUAAGCUGCAAGGUCAAAAGUUGUCAGUAAAAUAAGAGUUGCAACACAUAGUUUCCUGCGUUUGAAGCCCUCGCAUCUACAAAGAAAAUUCAUUUUGUUGGAAUGUGGAAACUUUAAUGGUGUAACAACACUUGAUUUCAACUUGGUUCAACUUUUUCUAGAGGAACAUAAUGAAUAGCCUGUGGGUUUCGGAUGCUGAAAAAAUAGUUGAAGAAAUAAUAAAGGACAUCAUCAUUUAGCAAAGUUGAUUCAUAGAAGGUCUUUCAAUUUAGAGGUUUUUCAUCAUUUUUUGUUUAGUACCGGCCUUAAUCCAACAAUUAGAUCUCAAGUAUAUUCAAUUAUAUUUGUGAGUAGGGACGAACAAAUCCUAGCGUUCCAAAUGUUGCAAGCUGACAAGUAUCAAUACAAAUCCAGCAAUGAAGAGGUUGACUGUUGACAUCAAGGUUGCUCUAGAGACUCAUGCAACUAAAGAUGCAGGUCCUAAUCCAAUAUGAUCUGAACAACAGCACGUGAUACCGAAUUGGCACGAGACUAUCAGAUUCAGACCCUUGGCAUUCCAAAAUAUCAACACCACUAGGCAAAAAUCACAACAAACUUCAUGUAUAUGGAAACAUGGCAGCAAAAUGUAUGCAAUCUAUUCUAUAAAGUUCAUAAGGCCCAUGUUUUAUAUGUAGAUGAAUCAUGUGGUUUGGAGUGUUAUAGAUGUAUAAGCACCAUGUUUUAUGUACAGAUAUGAUGAUUGGGAUGUGUAUCAAUUGCUGAACAAUGAAUACCUAAGUAGGCCUACAAAGAUAUGAACACUUGAUAAGCAUUGAAUUGGGAACGUGAUAAAAAAAAACGAUGUAACUGGUUGGCUACCUUCCUCUAACAAACUGUGGAUUGCAUCCAUUAGAAAAGCGGUUUUCUAUCCACGUGCAAGUGUUUACAGGCUCUAAACAGGUUACGCGUGCAUUUGGUACAUUUCCGGAAGAUAUUUGGUCAAGAAGUGAUUAAUCAUAAUCGAGAGUUGUGUUAAGUGGAAGAAACGGCGAGUUCAAGAUCAAAAGGAAGAAUUGUGUUCACAAGUAUGUGACUGCGCCGCAGUGGAGGGUGCUAUGCCCACUGCGCCGCAGUCCAUAUCCACAGAAAAACUUGGAACACGCCCCACUGCGCCGCAGUGGGGGUUGCACUAGGUAGACUGCGCCGCAGUCAAGGAAUCAAGAACUCAAGACGUGGAAACAAGCUGCGCCACAGUGGUGGAUUCCACAAGCCACUGCGUCGCAGUCGGAUAGAAGUCAAAGUCAAACCUUCCUCACCGCGCCGCAGUGAGGGGAUGAAAAACCCACUGCGUCGCAGUGGGUGCACGGGGGUCGAAGGAUUGGAUCGUUUCUGCAUCAGAACUUUGAAGAGUAUAAAUAGAUAAAAAAAAAACCCCUAAUUUCAAGCUUAUCAAAAUUCUUUCUAGGAGAUGUUCUACAAGGGUUCUUCAAUCUCCAAUCAAGAUAUAUUCUUAGGCGGAUUCGUUGAAGAUUCACGAGCACCCAU